rnacentral:rRNA from 1 species
GACGAACGCUGGCGGCGUGCCUAAUACAUGCAAGUCGAACGCAGUGGGGACGGGUGAGUAACACGUGGGUAACCUCCCAUCAGAGGGGAUAACACUUGGAAACAGGUGCUAAACCGAUACUGAUGGAUGGACCCGCGGUGCAUUCGCUAGUUGGGGAGGUAACGGCUCACCAAGGCCACGAUGCAUAGCGGGCCUGAGAGGUUGAUCGGCCACACGUGGACAGAGACAAGGCCCAGAAUCCUACGUGAGGCAGCAUUAGGGAAUCUUCGGAAAGGGAAGAAAGUCUGACCGAGCAACGCCGCGUGAGUGAAGAAGUUUUUCGGAUCGUAAAACUCUGUUUUUAGAGAAGCGGUAUCUAACCAGAAAGCCACGGCUAACUACGUGCCAGCAGCCGCGGUAAUUC